CCUACGGGAGACAGCAGUGAGGAAUAUUGGUCAAUGGGCGCGAGCCUGAACCAGCCAAGUAGCGUGAAGGAUGACUGCCCUACGGGUUGUAAACUUCUUUUAUAAAGGAAUAAAGUGAGGCACGUGUGCCUUUUUGUAUGUACUUUAUGAAUACGGAUCGGCUAACUCCGUGCCAGCAGCCGCGGUAAUACGGAGGAUCCGAUCGUUAUCCGGAUUUAUUGGGUUUAAAGGGAGCGUAGACGGGCUGUUAAGUCAGUUGUGAAAGUUUGCGGCUCAACCGUAAAAUUGCAAUUGAUACUGGCAGCCUUGAGUACAGUUGAGGUAGGCGGAAUUCGUGGGGUAGCGGUGAAAUGCUUAGAUAUCACGAAGAACUCCGAUUGCGAAGGCAGCUUACUAAACUGCCACUGACAUUGAUGCUCGAAAGUGUGGGUAUCAAACAGGAUUAGAUACCCGGGUAGUC
rnacentral:rRNA from 1 species